AAGACUUUAAGUUAAUAAAACUUUUAUCCUUCAAAGCUAAAAAUAAAGAGAAUUAUCUUUAAGUCUUA
rnacentral:tRNA from 2 species